GCGGAGGAUCAUUGUCGAACGUCGAGAGAACGAGGCGAACCGGUCAUCGGAUUCCAGCGGGGGGAUCGUGGGGGCAUAUCCUUGCCUCUCGGUCCCUCCGCACGCGCUUCCCAUCCCCUCCCUCCUCUCGCGGAGUUGGGAAUGCGCCAUUCUCAACAAACCCUCGACGCGGGCCGCGUCAAGGAUCAUCGAACCACAACUACAGGGCGUGACAUUGCAUGCUCUCGCCUCUUGGCGGCGCGCGCGCGAUUGUCCGCGUCCCUGUCGGAACAAAAGAUAGCGAUGACUCUCGGCAACGGAUAUCUUGGCUCUCGCAUCGAUGAAGAACGUAGCGAAAUGCGAUACUUGGUGUGAAUUGCAGAAUCCCGUGAACCAUCGAGUCUUUGAACGCAAGUUGCGCCCGGAGCCGUCAGGCCGAGGGCACGCCUGCCUGGGCGUCGCACGUACCAUCGCCCCCACCCUCAUCUCCCGUUGAUGCGUGGCUUGGGGAGUUGGAUGCUGGCCAUCCGUGUGGCGGAAUCGCGGUUGGCUUGAUUUUUCGCAUGGCGGCGCGUCCGGUCACGACGGGUGGUGAUCGUUUCGAAGAUGCCAGUGUACGUCGUGAUCGUGUGCGGUCGUUUCCUUCCGAUCGCCCCUGCGGAGCACGGGCACUUUCUUGUGCCCGACCUCCAAUCGUACGGACCCCAGGUCAG
rnacentral:rRNA from 1 species